rnacentral:misc_RNA from 1 species
CUCCUAAUUUCUCUCUCCUUCUGCCAUUUCUCCGCUUAAAUACCUUCUUAAAAAUAAUAUAUUUAUUUAAUUUUUUUUUCUUGAUAUUGAUUGGCAUCAUUUAUUCAUUUAUUUGCUUUCAUUUCUAUUUAACCUUUCUCUGAGGAUUUUUUUUUUCUGCACAGUUGUGUCUUUUUUGCUGUGGGGUUGAAUUUUUGGAUCUCUCAAUGUUUUGCUCAUUCUAUGCUCAGAUCUUAUUUGUGCUUUUUCACAAAUUACGGUUACAAUCUCUAUCUCUCUUUCAGCUUCUUUUUCCGUGUAUAGAUAUAUAUAUUUGGUUGGUUGUUUAAUUGAGCUAGGGUUUCUGUGUUUAUUUUGGAUCUAUGAAUGGAACUCUUUAAGUUCCAGUAGAACUGCUUUACUUGUUUUUUUUUUUUUAAAUAAUAGAUUGGGAAAUUUGGGUUUGGCGUUUUAAUUCUGGAAUGGAUUAUAACAAAUUUGAGCUGAUUCUAAUUAAGAUGCAAUGUAGGUUUUUAUGUGGGUGCUAAUCAAUGCAUUGAAUUUUGGAUUUUCCCUUGUUUUGUUCUUUUUUUCAGGUAUUCUGUUUUUACCCUUUUCUCAGCUCUUAGUUCAUUUAGAAACUACAUCUGAACUUUUCGAGGAUUCCAAUUUUGGUAACUCAAAGAUCUCAACUUUGGGUUUUCGCGUCUUGGUCUGAUUCAGGUUCUUAUCCUGCUUGUUGAAUGGUUCUGAGCUGUGAGAGUGGCCGUGUGAUUACAAGGAGAUGAGUCACACGACAUACGAGAGUGAUGAUGGGGUGCUCUCCAAGGAUCAGGCUGAAUCCGCGUUGGCUGAGGAAGGUAGCUGUGGAGGAAGUGGAAAUGGAGGAGUUGUGCUGAAGAAAGGGCCAUGGACAUCUGCUGAAGAUGCUAUUUUGAUAGAAUAUGUGAAGAAGCAUGGGGAAGGGAACUGGAAUGCCGUUCAGAAGCACUCAGGGCUUUCCCGGUGUGGCAAAAGCUGCAGAUUACGGUGGGCCAAUCACCUGAGGCCUAAUUUGAAGAAAGGGGCAUUUACUCAAGAAGAAGAACAGCUAAUCAUUGAACUCCAUGCCAAGAUGGGAAACAAAUGGGCACGCAUGGCUGCACAUGUAAGUCUAUAUUUUGCUUCUGUUUGAAGGUUGUGGUGUAGUAAAUGGUCCUUUUUUCUUUAUAUUGUGUUGAAUAUAAUUUACGUGGGAAUGUGUAAACUUAAAACAGACUUGAA